AGGUUUUUUUGCACUUCAGAUCAGCUAACGUCAUUUAGUAAUUCGUGAAGGUCCAAUAGGAGCAGCUACAGUUUAUUCAAAAACUUGCUGGCAAAGAUUGGCUGGCUUGUAAAUUUGGAGGCCAAUGGAGGCGAUUUUUGUAUAUUACGUUUUCCAUAGGGGUAUCUCUUGCCAACAGAAUCAGUGGACAAGGAAGAGUGGGGG
rnacentral:lncRNA from 1 species